GGCGAGAGUGGUGUCAAGCCGCGUUAAUUCCGCGGUGUGGACGAUGCCCCCCUUCCUUCCCGCUGGAGCGGAGUUUGGUCCUUACCUGAGUCUUGCAAGCCCUUCGAGCAGAGCGCGCCAGGAGCGGUCAUUGGAAAAGCUUUUAACACUUUGUCACAUCCAUUUGCACCGCGACCAGGGAAGGAACCACCGAAGGGGAAAAUAGAGAGAGGGUUUUUUUUUCCAAAAAAAAAAAAAGGAACCGAAGCAAAAAUUAAAAGAGAAAGAAAAGAAUCUUCCUUCCCUCGUCCAAAUGUCGGGUGAGAGUGGGUUCCUUUCUUGCUUCCUUUCCCACCUCAAAUCCUAUUCCAGGAGCCCGUGUUUCUUUCUCCACCUUUCUCAGAAAAGUAGCCCAGGCUUCAAGGCUGGCGAGGCGGUCAUGUUCCUCUUCUUUUCCCGGCGGUUCCUCUCUUUGGAAACCAUCCGAAAGGGAUCCGGAGAGGAUGCGCAGCUCCCGGGGCGCCUCAACAGGAGGGUCGGGGCAAGGCUUCGGGAAGGACCGGCUCCUCUUCCUCGCUCGCUUUCCCUCCAGUGCAGCCAGGAAAGGGAGAGGAAAAAAACCCAGAGGUUAAACAUCCCCGUGAUGACCGUCACCCCGGCUUUCAAAUUGAUUUGAAAACGCAGCGGAGAGUUCCGUAGAUCGCUCACCAAAAGAACGGAACGGGACCGCAGCAGACUAUUAUUAAGAGAUCUUUUUAUUUCACUUUCCCCUUCCCUGAACUAUGUAACAAAAUCCCCCAAUAAAAGUAGCAUUUAUUUU
rnacentral:lncRNA from 11 species